UACGGGGGGGGUAAGCGUUGUUCGGAAUUACUGGGCGUAAAGGGCUCGUAGGCGGCCAACUAAGUCAGACGUGAAAUCCCUCAGCUUAACUGGGGAACUGCGUCUGAUACUGGAUGGCUUGGAUUUGGGAGAGGGAUGCGGAAUUCCAGGUGUAGCGGUGAAAUGCGUAGAUAUCUGGAGGAAUACCGGUGGCGAAGGCGGCAUCCUGGACCGAGAUUGACACUGAUGAGCGAAAGCCAGGGGAGCAAACGGG
rnacentral:rRNA from 1 species